GAUGAACGCUGGCGGCGUGCCUAAUACAUGCAAGUCGAGCGAACAGAUAAGGAGCUUGCUCCUUUGACGUUAGCGGCGGACGGGUGAGUAACACGUGGGUAACCUACCUAUAAGACUGGAAUAACUCCGGGAAACCGGGGCUAAUGCCGGAUAACAUUUAGAACCGCAUGGUUCUAAAGUGAAAGAUGGUUUUGCUAUCACUUAUAGAUGGACCCGCGCCGUAUUAGCUAGUUGGUAAGGUAACGGCUUACCAAGGCAACGAUACGUAGCCGACCUGAGAGGGUGAUCGGCCACACUGGAACUGAGACACGGUCCAGACUCUUACGGGAGGCAGCAGUAGGGAAUCUUCCGCAAUGGGCGAAAGCCUGACGGAGCAACGCCGCGUGAGUGAUGAAGGUCUUCGGAUCGUAAAACUCUGUUAUUAGGGAAGAACAAAUGUGUAAGUAACUGUGCACGUCUUGACGGUACCUAAUCAGAAAGCCACGGCUAACUACGUG
rnacentral:rRNA from 1 species